rnacentral:sRNA from 1 species
GUUGCAGGCACCCAGGUGUUGACUGCGUGUCCAUUGUUGUUAUAGUUGGUUGAAUCUGUCCCAUUAAUUCUCCUUCCCCAGGCAAGACUCGUGGCUGUGACCCAUGGGCCUCUGAGGAGGCGUUGUAAGUCCGCCCAGCUCCCCACUUGCUGUGCUCUUACUCAAUGCGAAGGGAACCAAGGUACCAGGGCCAAGUGGGUCCAGACAUCCACACGGAUUCUGAAAGGGCAGGUCAAGCAGGCACGUGGGGCCCAGGUUACCCCUUAUUCCCUGCUGUGACAUGGGAAGCUGGGAAGGGCUGGGGGUUGGGGUAUCAUGGGAUGUGCUUCCUUAACGGCUCCUGUGUGUCACUGCCAGACUUUGUCCAGCCAUCAGCCACGGCCUCUCGACAGCACCAAGAUGGAAGUCAAAGGUCAGCUGAUCAGCUCUCCUACCUUCAAUGCCCCAGCUGCCCUGUUCGGAGAGGCUGCCCCCCAGGUGAAGUCAGAGCGUCUGCGGGGGCUGCUUGACCGGCAGCGGACCCUGCAGGAGGCCCUGAGCCUGAAACUUCAGGAGCUCCGCAAAGUGUGUCUCCAGGAGGCGGUGAGGGCCGGGCCCUAGGGGUAUCAGGCGGGGAGGUUGGGAGGAGGUGAGGAGCUGGGGCCCC